rnacentral:rRNA from 1 species
AGCCGACCUUGAAAUACCACCCUUUAAUGUUUGAUGUUCUAACGUGGACCCGUGAUCCGGGUUGCGGACAGUGUCUGGUGGGUAGUUUGACUGGGGCGGUCUCCUCCUAAAGAGUAACGGAGGAGCACGAAGGUUGGCUAAUCCUGGUCGGACAUCAGGAGGUUAGUGCAAUGGCAUAAGCCAGCUUGACUGCGAGCGUGACGGCGCGAGCAGGUGCGAAAGCAGGUCAUAGUGAUCCGGUGGUUCUGAAUGGAAGGGCCAUCGCUCAACGGAUAAAAGGUACUCCGGGGAUAACAGGCUGAUACCGCCCAAGAGUUCAUAUCGACGGCGGUGUUUGGCACCUCGAUGUCGGCUCAUCACAUCCUGGGGCUGAAGUAGGUCCCAAGGGUAUGGCUGUUCGCCAUUUAAAGUGGUACGCGAGCUGGGUUUAGAACGUCGUGAGACAGUUCGGUCCCUAUCUGCCGUGGGCGCUGGAGAACUGAGGGGGGCUGCUCCUAGUACGAGAGGACCGGAGUGGACGCAUCACUGGUGUUCGGGUUGUCAUGCCAAUGGCACU